UUGGGAUUUAUGGCUGCUCAGAGAACAAGCAAUGACAUGUGCCUUGCUUUACUUAGAACUCUUUGAUUCCUGUAGUAAUUCGAGGUGGACCUGGCAAUUUUUAAAGAAUUAUUUUUUAACAUGGUUAUUACCAAAUCUCAAAAGCAGUGUUGUGCCUUGGCAAACAGGGCCUGCUGCUUCUUCUGGUCUGGCUGGUAACAGCAGCUUCAAGAGGUGCUCUAAAGUGAUGGGUAGCCAAGAGCAGGAAGGUCCUGUUGUUUAUUUUCUUUUUGCAGUGGCAGUCCCUGCUGGCUGUGGAGACAAGGGGUGCACUGGAGGAAGCCCUGCUGCCUAACUUGUAGUGGUUUUGCAGGCUCCUUGCCAGGGAGGUGCUGGGGAUGCUCUGACCAAAGGCUGCUGGUAGUCCCCGUGUCGCAGGUGCAGCGCUGCAGCCUUGCCAGCCAGCCAGGCUCUGCCUCCUUCCCUUUGCAGCACCAAGGAUGGAAGAGAGCGCUCUGCUGGCCAGUGAGCCGUGUUAAGCAGUGAAAAUUUUGUAAUAUAUAACCAGAAUUUCAUUUCCUUUUUCUUUUUCUUUUUUUUUUUUUUUUUUUUCUCUUAAAAGUGAACUUAGUGCUGGUGAAAGAUGCCAGUUUGACAGCACUGGAGACUAAGUCCUGAAUUUAUCCAUCGAACAGGUUCAGCACGGGUAGCAGCAGUGCAAGAUUCUCCACACUGCCCUGCCACUGUGCCUCAACUCUGACCUGGAGGGACCACCUCUGGGGAAAUAAAAACAUCUUUCAAGAAAGCACAUAAGACAUCUAAUAUUUACUCAAGAGACUGAAACAGCUUCUUCUGAGUUCCUCCUACCUCUUGGGGAAAAUAAGUAAUUAGACCAAAACCAAAACAAAACACGUCUUCUGAACCCAGGAGAUACUAUUUCAGCCUCUGGAGUAGGAAUGCUAUUAGGUAGGGCUCUUUUUUCUUCCUUUUUUUUUUUUUUCUUUAGCGUAAUUAAGAAAGGUGGGGAGGGGGAAAUCUUGAUACCUGAGAGACCAGAAUGGCUGCUUUUGCCCAAAUAUGUAAUUAGAAGCUGAGAUAUUCGUAGUGAAAAUGGAAAUAAAAACUGUACACGCAUGGAAGAGAACACUCCAUUUACAAAGGGAAUAGUUUAAGCUUUGUUUACUGCAUUUUAAGCUACUGCCAGGCAGGAACAUAAUGGUUUGCCCCUUCCUUGAAAUUGUUUUAGUUAUUGAUACAGCUGAAGGAAGUAAAUUUGAUUUGCCUUCUCAGAUGUUCCAAUGGGAGAAAACUGUCCUGGUUAUGAGUGCCAUGCCUCAAUUGACGUAAUUGUUAUUGCUGAGUCUUAAGUGAAAGACGUUUUUAUAAUUUAAAAUAUUCAUUUAAAUUUAAUCGUGACAGAAUGAAGAUCUCAAUAAGAGUAUAAAAUUAAUUUAUAGUAAUAGUGCUGAUCAUGUGGCAGGCACUCCAGUCAUCGUGCAGAGUUGCUGGUUACCAUCUCUCUGUUCAGGCUGGCAGACCAGUCCUUAAAAAUCUGGUUUAGUGUCAGAGUGUGACAGCACACAGUGAAGAACUUGCAUUUGUACACCAGGCCAUCUUGAAGUUGUCCAAGAAAGACUUACAAACAAUGUGAAGGGUACAAACAAUAGGAAACACAUUUCUCUCUCAAAUAACAAAAACGAUUAAUGAUCUGAAAUGUAUUUUUUUUUCCAGAAGUGUCACUCAAUUUGAAGUCAUCGUGUGAAAGGGACUUAUUGUGUUUAAUCUUUAGGACAUCUUUGGGAUUUGGGGCUACUAUGUUACUACUUACAUAAUAGCUGCAUUAAAUCAACUACUCUCCAAAUCCUUGUGAAAUGUCGUCAUGGGAUUGAGGCAAUUUGGAAAUACUGUGUUUUGUCCAAAGAGCAACGAGCUCUGUAAUCAGAUCGCACAUACCAAGGUUUUCAGAAGUAGCUCAGUCUUUUAGUGCCCAGCUAUAAUAUUUUAAAAGACUGAGGUUGGAAGUUUGGCUUUUGUUUCUUGACGAGUGGCUUAUAGCUUUCUGACUAUAGAUCUUUCUGAAGCCUGCCCAAGACUGCUGCAUUGCUUUUGAAAACUUGGGUGUCUGCUUGUUUCAAUACUGACUACAGUGCUGCAGAAAACAGUGUGUGAAAUCAAUUGAUGCGACCCAAACCUGUGGAUCUGGAGGAAAAGAAAAAAAAAAAAAAAAGCUGA